GUCUAAGUAUAAGCAACUAUACGGUGAAACUGCGAAUGGCUCAUUAAAUCAGUUAUCGUUUAUUUGAUAGUACCUUACUACAUGGAUAACCGUGGUAAUUCUAGAGCUAAUACAUGCUAAAAGCCUCGACUCCGGGAGAGGCGUACUUGUUGGAUAAAAAACCAAUGCCCUUCGGGGCUGCUUGGUGAAUCAUAAUAAUUGCACGAAUCGCAUGGCCUUGCGCCGGCGAUGGUUCAUUCAAAUUUCUGCCCUAUCAACUUUCGAUGGUAGGAUAGUGGCCUACCAUGGUUUCAACGGGUAACGGGGAAUUAGGGUUCGACUCCGGAGAGGGAGCCUGAGAAACGGCUACCACAUCCAAGGAAGGCAGCAGGCGCGCAAAUUACCCAAUGCCGACACGGCGAGGUAGUGACAAUAAAUACUGAUCCAGGGCUCUUUCGGGUCUUGGAAUUGGAAUGAGUACAAUUUAAAUCCCUUAACGAGGAACAACUGGAGGGCAGCU
rnacentral:rRNA from 1 species